UUACUUAGAGUUCUAUCUCCUGAUAAUUAUGCAGUAGAGUGAACAGAGAACUUUUGAGAAGGGAAGACUUAAGCCAUCAGAAUGUAACUAAGUUAUCUGUGAAGGACAGGUUGGGUUUUGUAUCAAAGCCAUCUGUUUCAGCAACUGAAAAGGUGUUGUCUACAUCUACUGGUCUUACAAAAACGGUGUACAAUCCAGCUGCUUUGAAGGCUGCACAAAAAACCUUACUAGUUUCUACCCCUGCAGUUGAUAAUAAUGAAGCACAGAAAAAGAAACAGGAGGCACUGAAACUUCAGCAGGAUGUAAGAAAAAGGAAGCAAGAAAUUUUAGAAAAGCACAUUGAAACACAGAAGAUGCUAAUUUCAAAACUAGAAAAAAACAAAACCAUGAAAUCUGAAGAUAAAGCAGAAAUAAUGAAAACAUUAGAGAUUUUGACAAAAAAUAUUACCAAGUUGAAAGAUGAGGUUAAAUCUACAUCUCCUGGACGCUGUCUUCCAAAAAGUAUAAAAACAAAGACUCAGAUGCAGAAAGAAUUGCUUGACACAGAAUUGGAUUUAUAUAAG
rnacentral:lncRNA from 1 species